rnacentral:rRNA from 1 species
GAGUUUGAUCGUGGCUCAGAUUGAACGCUGGCGGCAGGCCUAACACAUGCAAGUCGAGCGGAUGAAGGGAGCUUGCUCCUGGAUUCAGCGGCGGACGGGUGAGUAAUGCCUAGGAAUCUGCCUGGUAGUGGGGGAUAACGUCCGGAAACGGGCGCUAAUACCGCAUACGUCCUGAGGGAGAAAGUGGGGGAUCUUCGGACCUCACGCUAUCAGAUGAGCCUAGGUCGGAUUAGCUAGUUGGUGGGGUAAAGGCCUACCAAGGCGACGAUCCGUAACUGGUCUGAGAGGAUGAUCAGUCACACUGGAGCUGAGACACGGUCCAGACUCCUACGGGAGGCAGCAGUGGGGAAUAUUGGACAAUGGGCGAAAGCCUGAUCCAGCCAUGCCGCGUGUGUGAAGAAGGUCUUCGGAUUGUAGAGCACUUUAAGUUGGGAGGAAGGGCAGUAAGUUAAUACCUUGCUGUUUGACGUUACACUAGAAUAAGCACCGGCUAACGUUCGUGCCAGCAGCCCG